rnacentral:tRNA from 1 species
GCCUGGGUGGCUCAGUCGGUUGAGCGUCCGACUUCAGCUCAGGUCAUGAUCUCACAGUACGUGGGUUCAAGCCCCGCAUUGGGCU